rnacentral:rRNA from 1 species
GACGUAGGGCGCGAGCGUUGUCCGGAUUUAUUGGGCGUAAAGAGCGUGUAGGCGGCCAGGUAGGUCUGCUGUGAAAACUCGAGGCUCAACCUCGAGACGUCGGCGGAAACCAUCUGGCUAGAGUCCGGAAGAGGAGAGUGGAAUUCCUGGUGUAGCGGUGAAAUGCGCAGAUAUCAGGAAGAACACCCGUGGCGAAGGCGGCUCUCUGGGACGGUACUGACGCUGAGACGCGAAAGCGUGGGGAGCAAACAGG